rnacentral:sRNA from 1 species
UUCGACUGAGAUUCUUGAAAUAGGAAAGACUGGUGAAGUCUGGAUGAUAGCCUUGAACCACGAGACACCCUGUUAUAUCUUGGACGUUUUCAAACACUUUGAGAGCAUGUGGGUGAAGUCCCAUCAAGUUGAGAGAGAGAAUACCACAAUAUCGAUAUACACGCCGAUCUGUUUUCCUCCAAAUUCCAAUAACAUUUAUUCAUAACUUUCUUAUCUGUCCCAUUCCAGCAUUUAAUCUGAUCUCCGUGUAUCAUUAUUCACAACACUGGGCCAAUUUCGUAUCCAAUAAUACCGGCAUUGCGGAAUACAUCAAAAUACAGGCAUUAAAAGUUUCCUGUUUCCAAUUUGUGUCAAACUGAGACUUUUGAUGCGAGGGCAGCCAUUAAGUGAGAUAUGAGACCAGUUGAAAUAGUACACAUUAUCAUUAGAUUUGUCAAUUAGAAUAUGUCCUCCAAAGAUAAUACAGGGGACAUCAACAAUAAAACUUCCUAAUUUAAAUGCC